ensembl:lncRNA
GGGACGCGUCAGGGGUGGGCCCGGCAGAACUCCAGGGCGGCCUGCGCCAGGACAUAGGGGACCGUCUUCCCCAGAGCUGGGAAAAGAGAGCCAGGGCAAGGAGCCAGGAGGAACUGGAGGCAAGGUGACUCCCCCUGUUUCGUGCUCCGCUCCAUGUUAGGGACAGAGACCUGGGCGGCAGUGCAGCCUCUGGGGAGAUGCGUGUCCCGCAGGCUCGGUUCCACCCCCAGUGACAUGCCCAGUGCCGGCCCCUGAACACGACACUCACUCGUGCUGGGCAGACGGAAUGCAGGAUGGUGCCUGCCACUCAGAGAUAGACGGAGGCCGUAAGGAUCACGCCCAUUGAUCAAGUGCUUACUGUGUUCCCGACGUGGUUCUAAGUGCCCACCGUAUGUUGACUCAAUGAGUUCUCACAAGAGCCCUACAAGGACAAUCAUAAGCCUGGGGCUGGAUGGUGAGUGCCAGUCUAACAAUGUGAAUAUGAGAAGCUAACUGCAACCCUGUGAAUAAUCAACCUGAGGCUGUCAGUCCUGAACAAGGAAACAGAGUGAGAAAAGCACAUUGCAUCCCAUGGACAUCAUACGGCUUUGUUGAAGAAGGUAUCUCAAGUUUGGUUUCCAGACUUGACCCGGCUCAGGGGUCACUCACCAGUUCGUGGCCUGUUAGGAACCAGGCUGCACAGCAAGAGGUUUGUCAUAGCUUUUCUUUCCAGAAGCAAGCAUCUUUUAAUUUUGUGGCUGCCGUCACCAUCCGCAGUGAUUUUGGAGCCCAAGGUGGACUCUUCACCAUCUGAGCCACCAGGGAAGCCCAAGAAUACUGGAGAGGGUAGCCUAUCCCUUCUCCAGGGGAUCUUUCUGGCCCAGGAAUCAAACCAGGGUCUUCUGCAUUGCAGGUGGAUUCUUUACCAACUGAGCUACCAGCGAAGCCCUGGAAAGCUCAACUAAGUUGUCAAAUACCAUCAAGGAUCCAGGUCCCACCACCCUGCUGUAUUGCCAUCCUCAGAGGACUGGGUGUCCUCAGCACAUCCCUUCCCUGUUCCAAGGAGGCUGUGGCUUCAAGCUUCUCAUCUCCAGAGGAUACGGUUCAACAGAGCCAGGAAAGAGGCAGGAGUGAAACAAAGAAUACAAAUAAAUUUAAAAUUUUAAAGGCUUUUUUGCCGUGUUGACUAUCUUAUUUACCCAAACAUAUUUGGACAGCAAGGAGAUUCAACCAGUCCAUCCUAAAGGAAAUCAGUCCUGAAUAUUCAUUGGAAGGACUGAUGUUGAAGCUGAAACUCCAAUCCUUUGGCCACCUGAUGCAAAGAACUGACUGAUUUGAAGAAACCCUGAUGCUAGGAAAGAUUGAAGGUGGGAGGAGAAGGGGACAACAGAGGAUGAGGUGGUUCAAUGGCAUCACUGACUCAAUGGACAUGAGUUUGGGUGAACUCCAGGAGUUGGUGAUGGACAGGGAGGGCCUGGCGGGCUGUAGUCCAUGGGGUCGCAAAGAGUCGGACACGACUGAGCGACUGGACUGAACUGACUGAUUUCCAGGUAACCUCAGCAGAUUCAUCCUUACGUCUCAUUGGCC